rnacentral:rRNA from 1 species
CUUGACAUCCCGAUGCUAUUUCUAGAGAUAGAAAGUUACUUCGGUACAUCGGUGACAGGUGGUGCAUGGUUGUCGUCAGCUCGUGUCGUGAGAUGUUGGGUUAAGUCCCGCAACGAGCGCAACCCCUAUUGUUAGUUGCCAUCAUUCAGUUGGGCACUCUAGCGAGACUGCCGGUAAUAAACUGGAGGAAGGCGGGAUGACGUCAAAUCAUCAUGCCCCUUAUGACCUGGGCUACAUACGUGCUACAAUGGUUGGUACAACGAGUUGCGAGUCGGUGACGGCGAGCUAAUCUCUUAAAGCCAAUCUCAGUUCGGAUUGUAGGCUGCAACUCGCCUACAUGAAGUCGGAAUCGCUAGUAAUCGCGGAUCAGCAUGUCGCGGUGAAUACGUUCCCGGGCCUU